UUGGAGGGCAAGUCUGGUGCCAGCAGCCGCGGUAAUUCCAGCGCCAAUAGCGUAUAUUAAAGUUGUUGCAGUUAAAAAGCUCGUAGUUGAAUUUCGGGACCAAUUUGUUGGUCGUGCCUCGGUACGUACUGGUAUUAUUGGUUUCUCCCUUCUGAAGAACCUCGAUGUCAUUAAUUUGGUGUCGUGGGGAAUCAGGACUGUUACUUUGAAAAAAUUAGAGUGUUUAAAGCAGGCAUACGCUUGAAUACAUUAGCAUGGAAUAAUGAAAUAGGACGUUUGAUUCUAUUUUGUUGGUCUCUAGGAUCGACGUAAUGAUUAAUAGGGAUAGUUGGGGGCAUUAGUAUUCAAUUGUCAGAGGUGAAAUUCUUGGAUUUAUUGAAGACUAACUACUGCGAAAGCAUUUGCCAAGGAUGUUUUCAUUAAUCAAGAACGAAAGUUAGGGGAUCGAAGACGAUCAGAUACCGUCGUAGUCUUAACCAUAAACUAUGCCGACUAGGGAUCGGAUGAUGUUAAUUUUUUAAUGACUCAUUCGGCGCCUUACGGGAAACCAAAGUGUUUGGGUUC
rnacentral:rRNA from 1 species